rnacentral:rRNA from 1 species
UACGAAGGGGGCUAGCGUUGUUCGGAAUCACUGGGCUUAAAGGGCGCGUAGGCGGCUCGCCAAGUCGGGGGUGAAAUCUUUCGGCUCAACCGGAAAAGUGCCUUCGAUACUGGCGGGCUGGAGGGAGGUAGGGGCAUGUGGAACUUCCGGUGGAGCGGUGAAAUGCGUUGAUAUCUGAAGGAACGCCGGUGGCGAAAGCGACGUGCUGGACCUCUUCUGACGCUGAGGCGCGAAAGCUAGGGGAGCGAACGGG